CAACAGCGUUAACGGUGGCCACGAGAAUAAACACUGCUGGCGCCGAGUUAAGUUUUGAUUUAAACGACACCCCAGCGACCGGUGCGGAUGGACCGGGAACGGAGCGACAGGAUGAAGCAGUGAGGGAUGAAGAGCAACUUUUCGGCUGAAAAAAAAAAUACAUCCAACCAUUUGCUUACCAAAACGAUCCAGUUUUGUGUUUUACUGUGCCACAGCAGCAUGACUAAUCAUACCACCCGAGAUUGGUUGUUCCUAAUGGCAAUUGUUGUCCCAUAAGUAGACAAACCGAAACUCACUCGAGCGUACAGGUAAUCAUGUCCGGAAGGCACAACCCCAACUUCCCAAACUAAGCCCCAAAACACAUCUCAUUCAGUGCAAACUAACAGGCAAAAACGUUUGUACCGGGUCGAGUAAGCUCCAUCCUCGCAUACUUACCGGAAGGCUUGUAGAAUCGUUCUCGACGGACCGGCACCCUGCGGACCGGCCGGUGCCUUUAGCUUCAGCAGCAACACUCGCAUGAUGUUGAACAGAAACACCA